UACGUAGGGGGCAAGCGUUGUCCGGAUUUAUUGGGCGUAAAGAGCGUGUAGGCGGUCAUGUAGGUCCGUUGUGAAAACUCGAGGCUCAACCUCGAGACGCCGAUGGAAACCAUGUGACUAGAGUCCGGAAGAGGAGAGUGGAAUUCCUGGUGUAGCGGUGAAAUGCGCAGAUAUCAGGAGGAACACCGGUGGCGAAGGCGGGUCUCUGGACAGUUCCUGACACUGAGGCACGAAGGCCAGGGGAGCAAACGGG
rnacentral:rRNA from 1 species